AUGCGGCCGGACGGCCCGGGACCCCUGGGCGCUCCCCGCCCUCCCUCGGGGGCCCCGGCGCCCGGUUGCCGGCGUACUCACUCCCGGGGGUGGGAGCGGGGAGGUGAGGGCAGUUCGUGCGGCACAGUUCUGAUCCGUGUAGGGCGCACCGACCCCGCGGCGCCACACUUGGCGCAACGGCUCCGCUCCGCCCGGUCCCUGUCCCAGGCGCGGAGCCGGCCAGGGAGCGGGCAAAUCCGCCUGCAGGGGAGGCGGGGGCCCGGGCCCGGGCCCGGGCCCGGGCUGGGGGCGGGGAAGGGGCCGGACACGCUUGCGCACACGGCCGGAGAGCCGACUCCCGGAGCGGCGGGGAGGAGGAGGAGGAGGAAGGGCGGGGUGGAGGAGGAGGAAGGGCGGGGGCGAGGCGGCGCGCGGGCGGGGCGGGCUCCCACCGCAGGCUUGGGACGGCUUGGACGCCUCCGGGGCUCGGGGUGCGAGAGGCGCUGGGCGGCGGCAGGGGAGCCGGAUGGGGUGAGGACAGAGCCUGGGCAGACGCUGCCUGUGAGCCGCGACAAGAUGAAUGUGCCCGGUGCAGCCUCCCACACCCUCCCGGGGACAAUGAGACCCAAGAAAGGGCUUCUUGCGCUCCCACGCGCCGAACCGUGUCCUUGCCUCCCUGGGGAAACCGAGGCACGGAGGUGGGAGGGCCUUGCACCGGGAGCCGUCCUGCCUCUCCCGCGUGCACGCGCUGGGCGCCUCUACCCGAGUCUGCACCCGCCGCCGCCGCCAAGCUGCUCCCUCCCCACCACUCCCUUGCAGACCGGCUCACAGAAGACCCCAUCAGACCCCUGGGGCCCAGGCAGUCUCCCUGAAGGUCUGGACACGGCCAGCCCCAAGAACAGUCCAGAAGUCACCCCGCUGGAGGAGCUACAGCCCCCCACACCGGUCCCUCUCGUGGAUCAGCAGUGUUCUGACCCCCUAGUGGAAACAGCAGGUGCUGUGUCAGGCUCAGUCCCCUACCUGUCCCCAGGGGGCCGAGGUUCCAGCUCCAGAGACAGGAAGGCAGGGCAGGAUGUGACUAAGUGCAAAGCGUAA
rnacentral:lncRNA from 1 species